AUGUGCACAGAAACACACACACACAGUUCCAUUCCAUAAAGCACCACUUCUUUGUAUUUUCUAUUUGGCUUUUCUCAAAGACACACAGCCUGACUUUAUCUUUGUCAUCGCAGCUCUUCAUCUCACGCCUUUUCUUUCCCACAUCGUCUGCUUUGAUCUUUUGUCAUUCUGUGUUUUGCGGUAUAUAUUCCUUUGUUUCUAUCCUCCCUCUCCCCUUCUCCAACUUUUGGACAAAGAUUUAAUAUCAAAGAUUUGCAGCUUUAUCACAUGGAAACACUCCCUGAGCAGUUUUUUUAAGGGAAUAGUUUUUUAUUACGAUCACCAGUAGAUUUUAUCAAGCCUUUAGUUAUUUAUUAAUGGACCUAGAGUUGUAUGCAAUAUUUUAUUGUCAUUAAAUAAUUACUAACUGUCUUUUAAGGCAGCAUUGAACUUAAAAUCCCUGUUUAUUACUUCACGAUGAAUGAUAAAACAUGCUCCUUUUUAAUUCAGUAUACUAUGGAGCUUUGCUGCAGCAAACAUACUUGAUCUUACUUGACCAACUCAGUAGCUUUAGACAUUGCCAACAUUAUAUUAAAACCAUGUACUUUACUUAUAUUUGUCACUUGAUUCGUUUUUCAGAAUAAUUUAUAUACACUGUGUUGUAAAGUAAUCACUUAUUCACCCAAACCAUUGAUUUCAGGUGUUCAAAUCACUUAGAUAGCCACAGAUGUACAAAUGACAGAGCAAGGUUACCGGAUGCUGAGGUGUAUAGUGCACAUCACUAUAGACCUCCAAACUUCAUGUGGUCUUCAGAUUAGCUCGGGACCAGUAGGUAGAGAGCUUCAUGGCUGGGCAGCUGUAUCCAGGCCCUACAUCACCAUGACAAGCACAAUUGCAAACCAUUGGAUGCAGUGGCCUAAAUCACGUUGCUACUGGACUCUAGAGCAGUGAAAAUGUGUUCUCUGGAGUGAUGAAUCACAUUUCUCUGUCUGGAAAUCCACUGGAUGAGUCUGGGUUUGGCAGUUGCCAAGUAAAUGGUACGUGUCAGACUGCAUUGUCUCAAUUGUAAAGUUUGGUAUGGGGCCAUUUGUCAGGAGCUGGGCUCGGCCCCUUAGUUCUAGUGAAAGGAACUCUUAAUCCUUCAGUGCAUGAAGACCCAUAAAGACAUGGAUGAGCAAGUUUGGUGUGGAAGAACUUGACUGACCAGCACAGAGUCCUGACUUCAACCCAAUACAACACCUUUGGGAUGAAUUGGAGCUGAGACCGCGAGCCAGGUCUACUCGUCCACCAUCAGUGUCUGACUUCACAAAUGCACUUGGAAGGGAAAGCCUACCCAGAAGAGUUGAGGGUUUUAUAGCCUCAAAGGAUGAUCACUAUGACAUUUCGCUAAGCGGACACCCCACCCGCACGUCUCAGACUCACCAUCAUUGCCGCGACAGAUAUUCCUCACUGCUUGUCCGUCUGUGUCUCUGUCCAUCCUUCUGCUUCCAGUCUGUUCGUGUAGCUCUUUGUUACUGUUCAGCCAGAAACUGCUUAGUUCACACACAGCACUUUUUUCUGCACUUGGCCAAUGACUUUACUUGUUCUCUGUAUGAAUAAAGUCUUAAGGCAGUCAGUGCCUCAUGAUUAUAGCACUGCUUUCUUUUUGAAAUGGAGUUAAAUACUAUACAAAUAUACAGCCUGAACUUUGUAUAUGUUUAUAUGUGACACUGACGAACACAACACUUUGUCCCUGUUGUCAGUGUAUUGUCUCUGAUGGGUAAAUGAUGUGUUGAUGGGUAAAAGAAA